GCAAGGCGUGGUGGCGGGCGCCUGUAAUCCCAGCUACUCAGGAAGCUGAGGCAGGAGAAUCGCUUGAACCCAGGAGGCAUGAGUUGCAGUGAGCCGAGACCUCGCCACUGCACUCCAGCCUGGGUGACAAAGCGAGACUCCGUCUCAA
ensembl:misc_RNA Metazoa_SRP Metazoan signal recognition particle RNA